UUUUACGCCGUCGGGAACCUCUGUUGCCUAGAGAUCCAAUGCCGCUGCCUUUUCCGGUAAUCUGUCGGAGAGGGAAUUGAUCAUGGAGGGCAUCUACAUCAACUCCAUUGCCUCUCUGAUGAUGUGUGAGUAGUUUACCACAGACCUACGGGUCCAUAUCUAGUAGCUAGAUGGCUUCAUCUCUCUCUUUGAUCUUCAAUACCAUGUUCUUCAUGAUCUUCAUGGAGAUCUAUCCG
rnacentral:lncRNA from 1 species